UUAAAAGUCGAAAUAAUUGAUAUAAGUUAGGUUAAAGUUUGGUGUUUAGGUUUUCUAGAGUUUGUAGGUUAAGUUGCACUUAAAAUAGAAAUUUCCCACGACUUUUUCUUUUUUCCAAUUCCAAGCUGUCGCUAAUUUAACUGCCUCUCUUCCCUCGAUUUCAGGUCAAAUUGAAUAACAUCGUACCAAUGGAACCGGAGGAAAAGGCUAGUAUGUUAAAAAAAAUAAAAAAAAUCAAAAGUAUCGUCAUCGUACGUCACUAAUCACUCGUCACAGCCUCACAGGACAAAUCUGAACGAAAAUGGUGUGAACUGUAAAAAUUUACAUCCCCGUGAAAUAUGCCACGGGGGCCGUCACCAUCACUUCCUCUUUCCCUCCGUUUUUUUCUAUUACUUCCAAUUUCCCCCUUUGAGUUUUCUCUCUCUAGAUUUUUCUCUCUCUUCAUUGUCAAACCUCCCCAAAGUCCAAAGCGAGAAGAAAAUUAAACCAAUCAAACACCAAGACAACACAUUAUCUCGAUAAUACUAUUUUAAUGAUGAUUAAUUAAGGUGUUAUAUAUAAGCAUAUAGGAAUAAAAUACAUACACACAGUCCCUCACGUCAGGCCACAAUCUCUUCUUUUUAUUCGGUACAACUUCUUCAGUGCUGCAGUUGGAAGAUGGUUGAUUGAUUGGAUUGGAUUACAUGCGAGACUCCAUUAAAGAUUUGAUUUUUUUUUUUUUAAUAUUAUUAUUAUUAUUAGUAUUUCGAAACGAGUGAGCAUGGUAAUGGGGCUUAAGACUUGUUUUGGUGCAUUUGAUUCCUGCAAAGAGAAGAUUGUCACAGAAGCCAAAGGAAUUGCUCCGAACAAUGUGAGGCUCUUUACUUAUCAUUCUCUGCGAUCAGCUACACAGGUUUUUCAUCCUUUGAAUAGAAUCGGCAGAGGUGGUUUCGGCGUAGUCUAUAAGGGAGUUUUGAGAGACGGAACUCAAGUUGCAAUCAAGUGUCUUUCGGCAGCAUCUAAGCAAGGGACUAACGAGUUCUUAACGGAGAUUAAUACGAUAUCAAAUAUCCAACACCCGAACCUCGUUCAGCUUAUUGGUUGUUGCAUAGAGGGAAACAACAGAAUAUUGGUGUACGAAUAUUUGGAGAACAACAGCCUCACCAGUGCUUUACUCGUCUCGCAUGAUAAACGUGUUGUUGAACUGGAUUGGUCCAAGAGGGCUGCAAUAUGUGUGGGUACAGCUUCUGGCCUUGCGUUUCUUCACGAAGAUGCUGAACCGAGCAUUGUCCAUCGAGAUAUAAAGGCUAGCAACAUUCUUCUUGAUGAGAAUUUCAACCCCAAAAUCGGAGAUUUCGGUUUGGCAAAACUAUUUCCUGAUAAUGUCACCCAUGUUAGCGACACGAGUAGCAGGAACUGUGGGAUAUCUAGCUCCAGAAUAUGCUUUAAUGGGGCAACUCACAAAGAAAGCCGACGUAUAUAGUUUCGGGGUCCUCUUGCUCGAAAUUAUAACUGGAAGAAGUAGUGGCAAAGCUUCUUUCGGAGAGGAUUUCUUGGUUCUUCUUGAAUGGACAUGGAAACUGUUCAAAGAAGGUAGACUAGUAGAGAUUGUUGAUCCAGAAUUGAAGGACUAUCGAACGGACGAAAUCACUCGGUUCGCGAAAGUUGCGCUGUUUUGCACACAAGCAGCAGUUCAGCAAAGACCAGACAUGAAACAGGUGUUGAAAAUGCUCUCCACAGAUGUUAAUCUCAACGAGAACUUACUGUCGGAGCCUGGUUUAUACAGACCACAUAGUAUCCUUCAAUCGAGAACGAGUUCUCACUCAGACAAAGGCAAAACAUCAGCCGCCACUCCUUUUCUGACUUCAGAUCGGUUUGACGAUGCUCAAACUUUUACAGAGAUGCUUCCUAGAUAACCCCAGCUACUUCAUUAAUACAUAUACAUUGUUAUUAUUAUAGUCUCCCACAGGUAAUUAAUUGUAUUCAUUCUUUA